rfam:Myotis davidii contig170842, whole genome shotgun sequence.
AGCGAUUCUCGGGUGAUACACCCUGGAAUCAAAGAGGAAGGAGCCCAAUUCCAGGGUGCAUCACCCGAGAACCGCC